UACGAAGGGGGCUAGCGUUGCUCGGAAUCACUGGGCGUAAAGAGCGCGUAGGCGGACUGUUAAGUCGGGGGUGAAAGCCCGGAGCUCAACUCCGGAAUUGCCCUCGAUACUGACAGUCUUGAGACCGGAAGAGGUAAGUGGAAUUGCGAGUGUAGAGGUGAAAUUCGUAGAUAUUCGCAAGAACACCAGUGGCGAAGGCGGCUUACUGGUCCGGUUCUGACGCUGAGGCGCGAAAGCGUGGGGAGCAAAC
rnacentral:rRNA from 1 species